GAUAAGAUUUCCAGUUUGAAAGUGAAGAAAAUGAAUCAUUAUUAACAGCAAUUAGUAGUUUUUCAGCUGAGAAGCCAGGUGAAACUAUAAGGACACUAUGAUUUACUUUCAUAUUAUCAUUCUUUUAUAGAUGAGGAGCAACCAGUAAGAAAAAGCAAAAAGAUGUUUUGAUGUUGCCUGAGGCACCUUAUUCACAUCAGUCAAUUUCUUCCAAUAAUGAAUCAAGAAAUCCUGGAGUGGAGAAUCAUUCUGAAAGUAGACCAAAUACAGGACAACACCACAGCAGUGGUUGGAAAAAUGCAGCAGACAAUGAGCAAACCAAGCUGACUUUCAAAAGAUGAUUCGUUAUCUGUUUCUUCAAAGGGGAGGCAGUUUGGGAGAUGGGAAAUAGGAGGAUGCUACAGCUACACAGGGCGAAUUUCAGCAGCUCAGUUUCACACUUGCAACUAACAAUGAAUUAUAGUUAGAAGACAACGGAAAUAUUUGACAUGGGAGUCCAGCAGACAGCCAGAGACACGCACACACACGGAGCUGAAGCGCGUUUGACUGACGCGUACGGGAGAUCAGGCACGCGCACGGGAGCUCGCUCGCGCACGCACACACAAACACGGAGCACAGGAAAAUUACAACUGUUCAAUUAAAAUAAAAGAACUUUGUGGUAAACAAUGUUUAGCGUGUCUGAUUUCAUUGGUUGUAAUGAAAUAAAACGAUGUGCUGAGGACUUUAGGCGAACGUCCCCUAAAAGUCCCGAAAGUCC